ACUCCCUCCUCCCGUAUCUGUGAGAAAGAGAGGGACAGCCAGCCCUAUGGAGAGGGAGAGGCAUAGGAGCCCCAGGACUCCCUCCCCUCACCUUCCGGGAAGGUCCCUUCUUCCUCCUUUGUUCUUUGAGGCUGAAGGACCUAAACUCCCAGCUGGGCCCCCAGCCGGUAUUUGUCUACAGGAGCAAUGGAGACAGAGCCGAAGCAAAAUUGAUGGGGAUGUGUCUUUGGUAGACAAGGUUGGAGGAGAGUGAAUAGAAGCCCCCAGAGGUGGUGCCUGUCAGAGCUGUGAGGAGCCUUCAAAAACCACCCAUCCACACCCCUCACUUUAUAAAGGAGAGAAUCCAAGUACAGAGAGCCCUGCCAGAUCCCGCAGGUCAGGCUUGACUUGCUUCUAGCUGAAAAGAGGUGCACCCAGGAAGCAGCCCCUCUGGAGGCUCAAGAGACUACUUCUGGGAGAGUGGGUGUGAACGUGCGCGUUGGGAGCCUGCCUGCCCUCACUCCAUCCCACUCCCAGGAAAGAUCCUCAGGCCUGCGGUUUUCUUUCUGGUCUGUUUUAUACAGAAGUGUCUACCUCAAGGGCUGACGAGCCUUUAUUGGGAACCAAGCAUUUUGGCCAUACAGUAGGGAUUAAGAAGCUGCCGGGGAUAGCUCCCACUCCCAUCUUUUCCCCUUCGCCUCUCCAAACCAUGGUCAGGAAGUCAGACUUGCCCUGGCCCUGGCCUGCUCUGGUUUGAAGCAUCAAAAGUUAGUGUUCGUUAUGUGUCAGGGGAAACCUGGAAAAAUCAUUCCCUCUGGUUACUGCUUUCCACAGUUCUGUCCUCUAACAACCUCAGUUGGGGGAUUUCAGAGACCAGUUAAGGCCUGGGGUAUCCCCUCACACUAAGGGUUUUCUGAUGUCAGUCUUUGUGUUCAUGAAUGGGAGGCGUGGCCUCUAUGGGAGGAAGGGAGGGAGACGAGGAAGGAUGAUUUAUACACUUAGGGCUUGUGCGGGGCUAAUCGCCUGGACUGCCUGGAGAAAGCGAAGCUAGUACCCCCUUUCUCCAACAGUCCUUAGUUUCCAGGCCCUUCCAGGGCCUGAAGGUCAGAUCUGCCACGUAUGGUUGCACAGGUCAUUCACUGCGCAAGAGUAUCCAACCGAUGGAGCAAGCGGGUGCUAAAAUACAGCCGGCACACUGCUUGCUAGCCUGUGUGUCACGGUACAAGCCAGUGUCCAACCAGAAGAUGACUUCUUUCAAGUGUUCCCAAGGGUUACUAUGAGCUAGCAGUGGCCCUUCAAAGGCCAUGCUGCCAGGGCAUAAAUCCUCCCUCUCCCUGCUCCCCUUCCCUGAAGUAUAAUAGGGAUAAGAGCUUGCUCAUUUCCAGGCUGUGGUGUGGUGGACAGAAGGGCACGAAGAACUUCAACUAACAGAAGUCAGAGCCACGGGUUUUCACUUUUAGGAAAUGUGAAUAUCAGUGCUCUUGUGUGUGUGUGUGUGUGUGUCAAGGACUAAACUGUAGAAUAACAGGGAGAUGUGUUAAUAGUAUGGUUUAUAAAUAAUAAUAAGUAAUCCUCAUGAAUCCCUUGCUCUAUGUCAGGCUCUAUUCUAAGUGUUUUAAAUGCAAUGCGUUCCAUUUAAUCCCAGAAGCUGCCUUUUGAAGUGCAUAUAUGACUAUCACCCUGUACAGAUGAGCAAACUACAGUUUAGAGAAGUUCAGUAACUGACCCAAGAUUAUCCAGUUUGUCAGCGGCAGGAUUCAACUCCAGAUUGUUUCCACUGCCUACAAUCUUAGCCAUUAUACUAUACUGCAUCCUAACAGAGAAAAGAGGAGAGAAAGUGUAAAACAGAGUUUGGCCCUCUAUCUAAAUUAUACCAGUAUUCCUUAAACUUAUCUGACUCCAAAGCCCUUUUUUUAAUCCAAACAUUUAUUAACAUCUCCAGGAACUACUAUUCCACAGGACACAGUUUGGGAAACUUGUGAUAUACUAAUUACUGCUAUUUGUGUAAAAUGCUUACUG
rnacentral:lncRNA from 1 species